rnacentral:lncRNA from 1 species
GGGAAUAAACAAUCAGAGGAUGGUAUCCGACCUCUAUUUUAUAUUCUCCUUCUACCGAAGCAACGGGUUGGAUUUGCGGUCACCUCCCUCCGCAAUGCCGAUUCUAAGAUGACAACAAUCCACAGAAAGGAAUCCUACAGACCCCUACGGGAAAGCAGAAAAACAGCCCCGGAUAUCUCGAUAAUUACCUUACCACCGUCGACGGCCGUCGGAAGAUCGUCGAUCCGCGGUUGCUUUCCGUCGGUGCCGAGCCCGCCGACGCCACUCCUCUGUGCCACCGCCGCUGAUCUGUUUCGAAAUCUCCUCCUACUGUGCUUUUGGCGGGGUUUCCGCUUCCCC